rfam:Citrus clementina cultivar Clemenules unplaced genomic scaffold scaffold_3, whole genome shotgun sequence.
GAGAUAUGAUGAUAAAUCUUUUGGUCCGUGUUUCUGAUUUAACCGUGACCGAUAACCUUUUGCCAAUAUCUGAUCUC